UUCAACCUCAAAAUGUUUUCUGUGGCUUUUCUGCUGCUAGCGGCUGCAUCCUGUGUAAAGUGUGAACAGCUGACACAACCAGCUGCUCAGACUGUGCAGCCAGGUCAAAGUCUGACCAUCAGCUGUCAGGUCUCCUAUUCCCUGGGCAGCUACUCUACAUUUUGGAUCCGACAGGCUGCUGGGAAAACACUGGAGUGGAUCGGUGCUGCACGGACCGGAUACACCACAAAUUACAAUAAUAUGAUGAAAAACAAGUUCAGCAUUACUUUACAGGAUUCCAGUAAAACAGUGACUCUGAAUGGGCAGAACAUGCAGCCUGAAGACUCUGCUGUGUAUUACUGUGCAAGAGCCCCACAGUGACACAAACCAGCAGGAGAGAAGUACAAAAACUCCUGAACAAGUUACUUCAAACCACCAGAGGGGGACUUUUCUGUUGUUUUUUUUUUUCAUUUUGUGUAUUUUGCUUUACUAAAACAGAGCUAUACUUGAACUGAA